AUGAACAGAAGACUGAGAAUGCUUACCUGCCUUCCCAUAGAAACACUGCUGUCCGUUAAAGCAGCAGUUGAUAGCUUCACACUCAGCACCACUGAUCCCAGGUUGUCCACAUUUGAUCUGCUCAUUAUCAGCUACAGCACAUUUAUCAAGGGGCUCUGCCUGCACCACUGGCUUCUGAAACUGCUGGCUAGUUUGUUGAGCUGGCUUCUGCGGCCAAAACUGCGGGCUAGUUUGAGCUGGCUUCUGCGGCUGAAACUGCUGGCUAGUUUGAGCUGGCUUCUGCGGCUGAAACUGCUGGUCAGUUUGCUGGAUCAUCAGGGCUUGAAGGUUCUGAGGCAGAUCACUCCACUGUGGAACAGCAUGACAGAAAGCACAAACUGCCAAAAUCUGAAACAACCACCAACUUCCAGCCAUUGUUCAACAGCUCAACACAAAGUGUGGAGAUGCUGGCCUUUGGUCUUUUAAUACUCUACAGGUUUCAGCUAAUUAAAGAUAGUCCCUCCCCCUUCAUUAACCCUCACGAUUCUCCAGACUUGCAUGAGUUGGAGCUUAU
rnacentral:lncRNA from 1 species